UACGUAGGGCGCAAGCGUUGUCCGGAAUUAUUGGGCGUAAAGAGCUCGUAGGCGGUUUGUCGCGUCUGCUGUGAAAUCCCGAGGCUCAACCUCGGGCUUGCAGUGGGUACGGGCAGACUAGAGUGCGGUAGGGGAGACUGGAAUUCCUGGUGUAGCGGUGGAAUGCGCAGAUAUCAGGAGGAACACCGAUGGCGAAGGCAGGUCUCUGGGUCAAAACUGACGCUCGAUGCACGAAAGCGUUCGGGGAGCAAACAGG
rnacentral:rRNA from 1 species